GACAGCAGUAGCCACGGUAAUACGGAGGGUGCAAGCGUUACUCGGAAUCACUGGGCGUAAAGGACGCGUAGGCGGAUUAUCAAGUCUCUUGUGAAAUCUAACGGCUUAACCGUUAAACUGCUUGGGAAACUGAUAAUCUAGAGUAAGGGAGAGGCAGAUGGAAUUCUUGGUGUAGGGGUAAAAUCCGUAGAUAUCAAGAAGAAUACCUAUUGCGAAGGCGAUCUGCUGGAACUUAACUGACGCUAAUGCGUGAAAGCGUGGGGAGCGAACAGGAUUAGAUACCCGCGUAGUCCCUGUCUCUUAUAC
rnacentral:rRNA from 1 species